UGCUAUUUACUUGGAUUUAAAAAGCAACAUUUGUCUGAUAUUUGACGAUGUGAAUGAAAAUCAUUCAUUUGUUAAUGUCAAUGACAAUUACUCAUUUGUUAUUAUGAAUUAAAUAUUACAUAAUGAAUAAUUCAAUUAAGCUGACAAUCAAUAAAUCUUGAAGGAAGCACAUUUUUUUUGGAUUUGUUUGAAUGGAAAUAGCAAAGUCAUAGUGACAUUUGCCAUAUUUGAUAGAGAUCUUAAUUGGUAAAAAAAAAUUAAAAAAAAGAAUAAAUGAAAUUGAACUUGACCUUGCAUCCUGCGAGGGAGGUGGAUAUGGAAAUCUUUCAUGCUAUGAUCUCAGCGUAUCUAGUUGAGCAUAUUUGAUAAGCAAACUGUUCCUCAGAAGGUUUGGAAUCAGAUUUCUCCGUACCUGACAGGGUUACAUAACUUGUGCCAUUUCCAGUUUUUAUUGGUUUUGUCUAUCGGGCUUACUUAAUACACAUUUUAAGAUUUAGCCGUUAAAAAGAGACCCCUUUGUAUUUGGUACAGAAAUAAUAAUCUAAUCUUUGUAUUUGAAACUUAAUCUGUGUAAAAUUGACAUGGGCAAAGAUAAACUGUUAUUUAAAUUAGGUAAGUUAAAUCUUGAGCAUUGAAAGACGCUCGAUAUUUAUCAGUAGGGUAUAAAAGCCCAAAAUGAUCUGUCAAAUACCAUUAUUGCUGAAUGAUAUCGAAGGAAAUUGAUUUUUAAUAAGCUUUGGUAUAAAGAUCUGUACUAAAACUUCAAAGGUUGAGAAAUAAGUAAGCACUAAAGCUACUCCUUUUUGUCAUAUGUAUAAUUGGACCCUAUACAUAUUUACUUAGAGAGAACAGAUCAAGAUAGAAAUUGAUUUUUUUUUUUAUAUUGAAAAGAAAAAUAGGGUAGACAUUCCCUUUUAUGUUUUUUUUUCUUAGAGGAAGCUCUUACAUCGACAUAUCAUCUGU
rnacentral:sRNA from 1 species